AUUGAACGCUGGCGGCAGGCCUAACACAUGCAAGUCGAGCGGAGCGGCGGACGGGUGCGUAAUGCCUAGGAAUCUGCCUGGUAGUGGGGGAUAACGUCCGGUAACGGGCGCUAAUACCGACUACUAUCAGAAGAGCCUGGGUCGGAUUAGCUAGUGGGGGGGGUAAAGGCCUACCAAGGCGACGACCCGUAACUGGUCUGAGAGGAUGAUCAGUCACACUGGAACGGAGACACGGUCCAGACUCCUACGGGAGGCAGCAGUGGGGAAUAUUGGACAAUGGGCGAAAGCCUGAUCCAGCCAUGCCGCGUGGAUGAAGAAGGUCGUCGGAUUGUAAAGCACUUUAAGUUGGGAGGCGUUACCAACAGAAUAAGCACCGGCUAACUUCGUGCCAGCAGCCGCGGUAAUAC
rnacentral:rRNA from 1 species